GACGAACCACCCAAACGUUAUUCGGAAUUACUGGGCUUAAAGGGUGCGUAGGCGGCUCGGUAAGUUGGGUGUGAAAUCCCACGGCUCAACCGUGGAACUGCGCCCAAAACUGUCGAGCUUGAGGGAGAUAGAGGUGAGCGGAACUACCGGUGGAGCGGUGAAAUGCGUUGAUAUCGGUAGGAACACCAGCGGCGAAAGCGGCUCACUGGAUCUCUUCUGACGCUCAGGCACGAAAGCUAGGGUAGCGAACGGG
rnacentral:rRNA from 1 species